AGAGUUUGAUUAUGGCUCAGGAUGAACGCUGGCGGCGUGCUUAACACAUGCAAGUCGAACGGAGCUUAAGAAGGAAGCUUGCUUUCAUUUUAAGCUUAGUGGCGGACGGGUGAGUAACGCGUGAGCAACCUGCCCCAUAGUGGGGAAUAACACCGAGAAAUCGGUGCUAAUACCGCAUAAUGUCGGAGGACCGCAUGAUCUUCCGACCAAAGGAUUUAUUCGCUAUGGGAUGGGCUCGCGUCCGAUUAGGCAGUUGGCGGGGUAACGGCCCACCAAACCGACGAUCGGUAGCCGAACUGAGAGGUUGAUCGGCCACAUUGGGACUGAGACACGGCCCAGACUCCUACGGGAGGCAGCAGUGGGGAAUAUUGGGCAAUGGGCGAAAGUCUGAACCCCCAGCAAUGCCGCGUGCGGGAUGAAGGUCUUCGGAUUGUAAACCGCUGUUUGGAGGGACGAAAUUUGACGGUACUUCCAGAGAAAGCCACGGCUAACUACGUGCCAGCAGCCGC
rnacentral:rRNA from 1 species